AGUACCGUGAGGGNAAAGGUAAAAAAGAACCCCNGGAAGGGGAGUGAAAAUAGAUCCUGAAACCGUAUGCAUACAAACAGUGGGAGCCCGCCAGGGUGACUGCGUACCUUUUGUAUAAUGGGUCAGCGACUUACAUUCAGUGGCGAGCUUAACCGAAUAGGGGAGGCGCAGGGAAACCGAGUCCGAACAGGGCGUUCAGUCGCUGGGUGUAGACCCGAAACCAGGUGAUCUAUCCAUGGCCAGGAUGAAGGUACCGUAACAGGUGCUGGAGGUCCGAACCGACUACUGUUGCAAAAGUAGCGGAUGAGCUGUGGAUAGGGGUGAAAGGCUAAACAAACCUGGAAAUAGCUGGUUCUCUCCGAAAACUAUUUAGGUAGUGCCUCAGGUAUUACCAUCGGGGGUAGAGCACUGUUUUGGCUAGGGGGUCAUGGCGACUUACCAAACCAAUGCAAACUCCGAAUACCGAUGAGUACAGCUUGGGAGACAGAGCACCGGGUGCUAACGUCCGGACUCAAGAGGGAAACAACCCAGACCGCCAGCUAAGGUCCCUAAAAUUGGCUAAGUGGGAAACGAAGUGGGAAGGCUAAAACAGUCAGGAUGUUGGCUUAGAAGCAGCCAU
rnacentral:rRNA from 1 species